UAGGGAAUCUUCGGCAAUGGACGAAAGUCUGACCGAGCAACGCCGCGUGAGUGAAGAAGGUUUUCGGAUCGUAAAACUCUGUUGGUAGAGAAGAACGUUGGUGAGAGUGGAAAGCUCAUCAAGUGACGGUAACACCCAGAAAGGGCGGCUAACUACGUGCCAG
rnacentral:rRNA from 1 species